CUUUGCUUUCUUGAGCUUUUGCAAGCACCAUGAGGACAUGCCAUGGUAUCCUGUGAUCCCAGGAAAAUGAAAGUCAUGUGAAGCAGAUAUAGACCAAGUUUACUGAAACUCGAUCUAGAGCAGCCAGUCCUCAACCACAAUACAGACAUGUUCUACUGAAGACCAAAUUAUAAAUGGUUAGAAGGUGCCAGGAGGAGACUUGAACUUUCAUCCCUAACAUAAAAAAGUAAAAUAAGGUACCAAUUCUACAGAUGGUAGAUCGGUAUCAUCCUGGUAAAAAAAAUAGAGGUAAUCAACUUGUGCAUUUUCAUUGAAAUGAGAUCCAAGGAGCUUGGUGCCAGCAAGGUCAUCACAACUCAAAAAGAACAGGAGAACAUUUCAGGUCACCAUGAGUCACAGAGGGCAAAUAGAACUUUGCAUAUAUCCUUACCAUAGCAAUGUAUCCAAUAAUUAUUUUCCCUAGAAUCUGUUUCAAUUCAAAACACUGCACUGAUCUCUGCAUGGAAAUCUAAUUAUUCUUCCCACUCAUAAAAAUAGGCUACUCUUGCUAUUUCUCUUGUCGCUUUCAGUUCAUGCACAUGAAAAUAGAAUUUAAAUAACUGCAAUGCCAUUUGUUAAAUGAUGUCCUGGAAGAAUUAGUUUUUCUUUAAAAAGUGAAUACUACAAAGUUCUCUGUACCCAUUUUACUACCUAAGGAAGUUAUUUGCCAUUUGCUGAAUCAGAGAUGAG